CUCGGGGCAUCAGCCCACUCAUUGGGGAGAAAAAAGGAGCAAAACCAAUCGGGAGGCUGCUAAUGGUCACGUGAGGACUGGGUCGAGUGAUCUGAACUCGGGACAAGAGUCGGUCCGCCAAGUCCUCUGAAAUUCCUAACCCAGGAAAGAACUCUCUGCGGGAGUACUGGUGUCAAGUCAGAGACGUUAAGGUGUCGAAUAUCACAAAACAUUUAAUACCACCAAGAACUCUUCUUAGUCUUUUUCCUGUUUUACUACUCUUGUUUACUAUUUGAUUAAACGUGCGUGCAUGUCUUACCUUC
rnacentral:lncRNA from 1 species